rnacentral:tRNA from 1 species
GCUCAGCUGGUCAGAGCGUUCGGUUUACAUCCGAAAGGUCGCAGGUUCGAUCCCUGC